rnacentral:tmRNA from 1 species
GGGGGUGUAAUGGCUUCGACAUGCAUUGGGUAACAUAAUAAUUAGUGGUCUGCAAACCUUAAGGCACCUAGGCUUAAUACGUGCAAACGAAGAAAAGUCAGAAGAAGUUCAUGUAGAACUUCCAGCAUUCGCAAUUGCAAAUGCUAAUAGAAAUCUUGCAUUCGCUUAGUUAAAAGCUGCAAGUGGCUUGGUUAAAGUUUCCAAUUUAACUAAGUUGGUUUUAUGGAAUAGUUCUGUUUUAUAGGUCUAAAAGCAGAAUGAAAUUUCUGACCUAGUGACAUAAAUAUUUUUUGUUUGUUUUAUUGUUUUUAUCACUUAAUUUAAAAAUAAACUAAACUAUAAAAAGUUAUUGUGUGUUCUUGAUGUGUGGACUCGGGUUCAACUCCCGACAUCUCCACCA